rnacentral:rRNA from 1 species
AUUGAACGCUGGCGGCAUGCCUUACACAUGCAAGUCGAACGGUAACAGGUUAAGCUGACGAGUGGCGAACGGGUGAGUAAUAUAUCGGAACGUGCCCAGUCGUGGGGGUUAACGUAGCGAAAGCUACGCUAAUACCGCAUACGAACUACGGAUGAAAGCGGGGGAUCUCAAGACCUCGCGCGCUUGGAGCGGCCGAUAUCAGAUUCGGUGGUUGGUGAGGUAAAAGCGCACCAAGCCUGCCAUCUGUAGCUGGUCUGAGAGGACGACCAGCCACACUGGAACUGAGACACGGUCCAGACUCCUACGGGAGGCAGCAGUGGGGAAUUUUGGACAAUGGACGCAAGUCUGAUCCAGCAAUGCCGCGUGCAGGACGAGGGCCUUCGGGUUGUAAACUGCUUUUGUACGGAACGAAACGGUGAGCUCUAAUACAGUUUGCUAAUGACGGUACCGUAAGAAUAAGCACCGGCUAACUACGUGCCAGCCGCCGCCGUAA